rnacentral:rRNA from 1 species
AGUGAACGCUGGCGGUAGGCCUAACACAUGCAAGUCGAACAGCAGCACAGUAAGAGCUUGCUCUUACGGGUGGCGAGUGGCGGACGGGUGAGGAAUACAUCGGAAUCUACUUUUUCGUGGGGGAUAACGUAGGGAAACUUACGCUAAUACCGCAUACGACCUACGGGUGAAAGCAGGGGAUCUUCGGACCUUGCGCGAUUGAAUGAGCCGAUGUCGGAUUAGCUAGUUGGCGGGGUAAAGGCCCACCAAGGCGACGAUCCGUAGCUGGCCUGAGAGGAUGAUCAGCCACACUGGAACUGAGACACGGUCCAGACUCCUACGGGAGGCAGCAGUGGGGAAUAUUGGACAAUGGGCGCAAGCCUGAUCCAGCCAUACCGCGUGGGUGAAGAAGGCCUUCGGGUUGUAAAGCCCUUUUGUUGGGAAAGAAAAGCAGCAGGUUAAUACCCCGCUGUUCUGACGGUACCCAAAGAAUAAGCACCGGCUAACUUCGUG